rnacentral:rRNA from 1 species
CCAAGGAGUCUAACAUGUGCGCGAGUCAUUGGGACCGCACUAAACCUAAAGGCGUAACGAAAGUGAAGGCGUGUCGGCGCGGCACUCCGGUGCCGCCGCCGCUCGCCGAGGGGGGAUUCGUCCCGUCCACCGCGACGCGGGCGACGCACCCCCGCGGCGUCUCGUUGUCAUUGCGACACAGCAGGCGCACGCUGAGCGUACACGUUGGGACCCGAAAGAUGGUGAACUAUGCCUGGUCAGGUCGAAGUCAGGGGAAACCCUGAUGGAGGACCGUAGCGAUUCUGACGUGCAAAUCGAUCGUCAGAGCUGGGUAUAGGGGCGAAAGACUAAUCGAACCAUCUAGUAGCUGGUUCCCUCCGAAGUUUCCCUCAGGAUAGCUGGCACUCGGAGGCAGAAUGUGAGAGCGGCGCGGCGGGCAACCGUGACGUGCGUCGCAAGUAACCAGUCUCAUCUGGUAAAGCGAAUGAUUAGAGGCCUUGGGGCCGAAACGACCUCAACCUAUUCUCAAACUUUAAAUGGGUGAGAAAUUCGACUUGCUCGAAAAUAUGAAGUCGAAGACACUAUGAAUGGAUGAACGAGCGGCCAAGUGGGCCAAUUUUGGUAAGCAGAACUGGUGCUGUGGGAUGAACCAAACGUCGAGUUAAGGCGCCUAAAUCGAUGCUCAUGGGAUACCAUGAAAGGCGUUGGUUGCUUAAGACAGCAGGACGGUGGCCAUGGAAGUCGGAAUCCGCUAAGGAGUGUGUAACAACUCACCUGCCGAAGCAACUAGCCCUGAAAAUGGAUGGCGCUCAAGCAUCGUGCCUAUACUCGACCGUCACUGGCACAGGGCGCCGUACCGAGUCGUGGCGGUGUCACGAAGUCGUGACGAGUAGGAGGGUCGCGACGGUGUGCGCAGAAGUGUCGGUCGCGAGACUGCAUGGAGCCGCCGUCGGUGCAGAUCUUGGUGGUAGUAGCAAAUACACUAGCGAGGCCCUGGUGGACUGACGUGGAGAAGGGUUUCGUGUGAACAGCCGUUGCACACGAGUCAGUCGAUCCUAAGCCCCAGGAGAAAUCCGUUGUUGAUGUGCUGUCGAAUAAUUUCUUGACGAUUAUGACCACAUCGGGCGAAAGGGAAUCCGGUUUCUAUUCCGGAACCCGGCUGCGGAACCGACCAUGCGGGCCAAUGUCGCAGCGAUGCGGCAACUCGUCGGGGUAACCCAAAAGGACCCGGAGACGCCGUCGGAUGAUCGAGGCAGAGUUUUCUGUUCUGUAUGAGCGUUCGAGUUCCCUGGAAGCGCCUAGCGCGGAGAUAGGGUUUGGAACGCGAAGAGCACCGCAC